rnacentral:rRNA from 1 species
GAUGAACGCUGGCGGCGUGCUUAACACAUGCAAGUCGAACGGAAAGGCCCAAGCUUGCUUGGGUACUCGAGUGGCGAACGGGUGAGUAACACGUGGGUGAUCUGCCCUGCACUUCGGGAUAAGCCUGGGAAACUGGGUCUAAUACCGGAUAGGACCUCAUUUUGGAUGUUGUGGUGGAAAGUUUUUCGGUGUGGGAUGAGCUCGCGGCGUAUCGGCUUGUUGGUGGGGUAAUGGCCUACCAAGGCGUCGACGGGUAGCCGGCCUGAGAGGGUGUACGGCCACAUUGGGACUGAGAGACGGCCCAGACUCCUACGGGAGGCAGCAGGGGGGAAGCUUGAAGAAUGGGCGCAAGCCUGAUGCAGCGAGGCCGCGUGGGGGAUGACGGCCUUCGGGUUGUAAACUACUUUCGCUAGGGACGAAGCGUUAUGUGACGGUACCUGGAGAAGAAGCACCGGCUAACUACGUG